rnacentral:rRNA from 1 species
AUUGAACGCUGGCGGCAGGCCUAACACAUGCAAGUCGAACGGUAACAGGAAGAAGCUUGCUUCUUUGCUGACGAGUGGCGGACGGGUGAGUAAUGUCUGGGAAACUGCCUGAUGGAGGGGGAUAACUACUGGAAACGGUAGCUAAUACCGCAUAACGUCGCAAGACCAAAGAGGGGGACCUUCGGGCCUCUUGCCAUCGGAUGUGCCCAGAUGGGAUUAGGUAGUAGGUGGGGUAACGGCUCACCUAGGCGACGAUCCCUAGCUGGUCUGAGAGGAUGACCAGCCACACUGGAAAUGGGACACGGUCCAGACUCCUAAGGGAGGCAGCAGUGGGGAAUAUUGCACAAUGGGCGCAAGCCUGAUGCAGCCAUGCCGCGUGUAUGAAGAAGGCCUUCGGGUUGUAAAGUACUUUCAGCGGGGAGGAAGGGAGUAAAGUUAAUACCUUUGCUCAUUGACGUUACCCGCAGAAGAAGCACCGGCUAACUCCG